rnacentral:rRNA from 1 species
CGGGUGAGUAAUGCAUAGGAAUCUACCCAGUAGUGGGGGAUAACGUGGAGAAAUCCACGCUAAUACCGCAUAUGCCCUACGGGGCAAAGCAGGGGACCUUCGGGCCUUGCGCUAUUGGAUGAGCCUAUGUCGGAUUAGCUUGUUGGUGGGGUAAAAGCCUACCAAGGCAACGAUCCGUAGCUGGUCUGAGAGGAUGAUCAGCCACACUGGGACUGAGACACGGCCCAG